GCUAAACGCGAAGAACCUUACCAACCCUUGACAUGGCAGGACGGUUACCAGAGAUGGUUUCCUUCACUUCGGUGACCUGCACACAGGUGCUGCAUGGCUGUCGUCAGCUCGUGUCGUGAGAUGUUGGGUUAAGUCCCGCAACGAGCGCAACCCUCGCCCUUAGUUGCCAUCAUUUAGUUGGGCACUCUAAGGGGACUGCCGGUGAUAAGCCGGAGGAAGGUGGGGAUGACGUCAAGUCUUCAUGGCCCUUACGGGUUGGGCUACACACGUGCUACAAUGGCGGUGACAGAGGGCUGCUAGUCCGCGAGGACAUGCUAAUCCCUAAAAGCCGUCUCAGUUCGGAUUGCACUCUGCAACUCGAGUGCAUGAAGUCGGAAUCGCUAGUAAUCGCAGAUCAGCACGCUGCGGUGAAUACGUUCCCGGGUCUUGUACACACCG
rnacentral:rRNA from 1 species